AACCUAUGAUGUGGACAAAUAUUUAUCAGAUCCUUGAACCUCUCCCAGCGAGCCCAAAAAGUCUCAUCACCCUUUUGCAUAAACUGAAUAAUUUGUUCUCGUAAAAAU